rnacentral:lncRNA from 1 species
CUCUUUCAACUCCUUCAACUCGGCUGGGGCCAUCCUGUAGGGAGGGAUAGAGAUCGGUCUAGUUCCAGGCACCAAUUCUAUCUCGAACUCUAUCUCCCUAGCAGGUGGUAAACCUGGAAGCUCAUCAGGAAAGACAUCCUGAAACUCUCUGACAACUGGCACCGAGGCUGGCUCCCUGACCUGUCUGUCUAGUUCUCUCACAUGAGCUAAGUACCCCUGAC